rnacentral:rRNA from 1 species
UAUUAAAGUCACAACGGUGAAAGAUGAGCAUGCGUCCCAUUAGCUAGUUGGUAAGGUAACGGCUUACCAAGGCUACGAUGGGUAGGGGUCCUGAGAGGGAGAUCCCCCACACUGGUACUGAGACACGGACCAGACUCCUACGGGAGGCAGCAGUGAGGAAUAUUGGACAAUGGGCGCAAGCCUGAUCCAGCCAUGCCGCGUGCAGGAUGACGGUCCUAUGGAUUGUAAACUGCUUUUGCACAGGAAGAAACACUGAUUCGUGAAUCAGCUUGACGGUACUGUGAGAAUAAGGAUCGGCUAACUCCGUGCCAGCAGCCGCGGUAAUACGGAGGAUCCAAGCGUUAUCCGGAAUCAUUGGGUUUAAAGGGUCCGUAGGCGGUCUAGUAAGUCAGUGGUGAAAGCCCAUCGCUCAACGGUGGAACGGCCAUUGAUACUGCUGGACUUGAAUUACUGGGAAGUAACUAGAAUAUGUAGUGUAGCGGUGAAAUGCUUAGAGAUUACAUGGAAUACCAAUUGCGAAGGCAGGUUACUACCAG